ACCUGUGUAGCUCAGUUGGUAGAGCGUUCGACUUUUAUGACGUUUCCUUCAUACGAGGUUAUCGAAAUGUCCAGGGUUCGAGCCCCUGCAUGGGUG
rfam:Nadsonia fulvescens var. elongata DSM 6958 unplaced genomic scaffold NADFTscaffold_8, whole genome shotgun sequence.